rnacentral:rRNA from 1 species
UACGUAGGGGGCUAGCGUUGUCCGGAAUCAUUGGGCGUAAAGGGCUCGUAGGCGGCCAACUAAGUCAGACGUGAAAUCCCUCGGCUUAACCGGGGAACUGCGUCUGAUACUGGAUGGCUUGAGUUCGGGAGAGGGAUGCGGAAUUCCAGGUGUAGCGGUGAAAAUGCGUAGAUAUCUGGAGGAACACCGGUGGCGAAGGCGUCCCUCUGGCCGGACACUGACGCUGAGACGCGAAAGCGUGGGGAGCAAACAGG